rnacentral:rRNA from 1 species
AGGGCACUACCAGGAGUGGAUCCUGCGGCUCAAUUUGACUCAACACGGGAAAGCUCACCUGGUCCGGACACUGGAAGGAUUGACAGAUUAAGAGCUCUUUCUUGAUUCAGUGGGUGGUGGUGCAUGGCCGUUCUUAGUUGGUGGAGCGAUUUGUCUGGUUAAUUCCGAUAACGGACGAGACUCUAGCCUACUAAAUAGGUGUUCCGAUCCCAUCAGUCGGACGCUCUUCUUAGAGGGACAAGCGGCGUUUAGCCGCACGAGACAGAGCAAUAACAGGUCUGUGAUGCCCUUAGAUGUCCGGGGCCGCACGCGCGCUACACUGAAGGUACCAGCGUGUGUCCCUGUCCGGCAGGACUGGGUAAUCCGUUGAACCUCCUUCGUGAUAGGGAUAGGGGCUUGUAAUUGUUCCCCUUGAACGAGGAAUUCCCAGUAAGCGUGAAUCAUCAGUUCACGUUGAUUACGUCCCUGGCCUUUGUACACACCGAAAACGCUACUACUAAUUGGAUGAUUAAUUGAUGU